UACGUAGGUGGCGAGCGUUGUCCGGAUUUACUGGGCGUAAAGAGCGCGCAGGCGGUCGUACAAGUCGCGUGUGAAAGCCCCUGGCUCAACUGGGGAGGGUCACGCGAUACUGUUCGACUCGAAGGCAGGAGAGGGAAGUGGAAUUCCCGGUGUAGUGGUGAAAUGCGUAGAUAUCGGGAGGAACACCAGUGGCGAAGGCGACUUCCUGGCCUGUUCUUGACGCUGAGGCGCGAAAGCUAGGGUAGCGAACGGG
rnacentral:rRNA from 1 species